rnacentral:rRNA from 1 species
AUUGAACGCUGGCGGCAGGCUUAACACAUGCAAGUCGAACGCGUGGCGGACGGGUGAGUCAUGCUUGGGAAUUUCGUUUAUGGAGGGGGAUACUUACGGGAAACUGUAGCUAAUACCGCGUACCUUAGGAUGAGCCCAAGUUGGAUUAGGUAGUUGGUGAGUUAAAGGCUCACCAAGCCCACGAUCUCUAGCUGCUCUGAGAGGAUGACCAGCCACACUGGGACUGAGACACGGCCCAGACUCCUACGGGAGGCAGCAGUGGGGAAUAUUGCGCAAUGGGGGCAACCUGACGCAGCCAUGCCGCGUGAAUGAAGAAGGCCUUCGGGUUGUAAAGUUCUUUCGGUAGCGAGGCGUUAACUACAGAAGAAGCCACGGCUAACUACGUGCCAGCAGCCGCGGUAAUUC